rnacentral:lncRNA from 1 species
AUAUCAACAUAUAUCACAGGCUGAAAAAUACAAUAUAGCUCAAUAUUUUAGCUUUUUUACGUUUAUUUUGGGAUUUUAUUGCCAUGUUUUCUAAAGUAUUCCAGUCUGUUGGGCUUUUAUUUGUGGAAGAGCUUAAUCCAACAUUUCAUGAUGUACCCUUGGAAUAUCCAAUUGUUGCUGUGGUCAAAAGUGCUCCUUCCCUGUACUUGUUUGAAUAGGGUCACUCAUCCAAUUUUCCUUACCUGGUUCAGGAACUCUUAAUUGACUAAUAUGAAACUGAAAACUGAACUCUAAUUUAAGGGAAAACCACAAAACCAACACACCAUGGAAUUAGUUUGAAACCCCUAAAAUAUGCUUACAGUGUAUCUGGGCUAUUCAACUCCACCAACAUUAGUAAAAAUGUAUUAGGGACACCAGAUAAGUUCAGUUAAUUAGAAGUAUUUUAACCAUACAGGACCAGAUAUGAAUAGCUCAAUGUUUUAUUUUUCAAAGUAUAUUUCUCUGUAUCUUUUCCAAACAAAAGCAGAACUAUGGGGUAAUGUAGUAGCCCUGUCUAGCUUAAUCUCUGCUACAUUCCAUGUGUUAUGGUUGUCAUGGUAACUCUCCCUGCUGUAACCCGUCUUAAUGCAGGUGACAUGAACAAGGCUUACGCCCUGAUGCACGCACUGAACGCCAUCGUCAGAGAGAGCUUCUUCCAAAAGACAGGGACCAGGCUGGACAGCAAGAUGUGCAGUGUCAAAUAAAUGGCUGCCAUUAGCCACCCAGACACUUGAGGGACAGCAUUUUUCCAGGCAGCCAAACAUCACUACAGACGGAUUCUGCAGCUCUGUGAUGGGAAUUGUAAGCACAGAAAUGUAAUCACUAGAACAGUCAGAUUACAUUCAUUUGAACGGGGAUCCCCAUGCUAGUUAUUCUGUUUCUGUGAAAGUGGAGCCACUGCACAUUUACUGCAGUUUCCCAUCGACCUUAAUCUGACAUCCCAGACAGUCAGUGCGUCACAUCUCCAGUGGACCUCGCUCUGACCUCCACCAGGAGUUCUCCAGACAGUGAUGGAGUAUGUGUAUCAGAGAAAGGAAAAAGUUUAAGUGUGAGGGUGUUCCAUGAAACCGGCAAUUUGUCAUGCUUCUUAACAUCUGGUUAAUGAUUGUUGUCCCAAUUAGUGACUGAAUGAGCGUGCCCAAUUGAGAAACACUGGAAAUAAAAACAAAGUCCUGAUGAGCAGACACAAGUGAUCAGGAAGUGUUCUAAAUCGAUAUGAACAUGUCAGAUCGUUCAUUUGGGUCAGAGAGGUAGAGAAAGAGGGGUACAGCUACUUUCAACAUUAAACUCUUUGAAAUGAAUGCU